UACAUGACUUGGUGUUUUGUCAUAUUGAUCAGUUUUUGUGUUCAAGCAUUAUUUUCAAGUUUGGUUCAAGUAUUCAGAGUUACAUCCCCAACAAUUGAAAAAGUUCUGCACCAACAUAAUCCGUCUGCAAAAUAUUAAUUUUCCAUACAAACAAUAUGGAUGUCUCCGCAUUAAUAUUGAAACGUCUAUGUAUGGUUGUUUUUCACAGGUCUACAUCUGCAGUUGCCCUAUUUCCACAUAUGGGUUCCUAAUUUCAUCUUUUUUUCCCUCGAUACAAAUAUGACCUUAACUUGAAUGUCUUUGCUGGAGCAAUGCUUGGCAUUGUGGCGGCCUGUAUAUGCUGUCAACUUGUUCGGUUGCAACAUAGAAAUGCUUCUGCAGGUAAUUUUUGGUAAUAUAAUUGGAACGGUGUUUCGCUAUUGUUUAAACCUGGCUCAAUUUUAUGGCCUUCUGAGCUUAUUGUACUCCACAUACACUCAUUAACCAAAAACCUGAAGAUGUUCAACUUCUGUUCCCGUUUCGGUAACUUUCCUUGUUGUAAGUUAGAUUUGUUUUGUUCGUGAACUCGGUUACUUAUUCAAGUCUAAAGUUGUAUCCAAAAUUUGGUUGGGUUUGAAUGAAAAUAUUAAUCUCGAAAAA